UAAUUCAAUUGGUAGAACGCUCCACUGGAAACGGAGAGGUCCCGGGUUCGAUACCCGG
rnacentral:tRNA from 1 species